AUUGAACGCUAGCGGGAUGCUUUACACAUGCAAGUCGAACGAGUGGCGGACGGGUGAGUUAUAUAUCUGAACGUGCCCAGUAGAGGGGGAUAACUACUCGAACGAGUGGCUACUACCGCAUACUAUUGCAGCGGCCGAUAUCGGAUUAGCUAGUUGGUGGGGUAAAGGCUUACCAGGGACACGAUCCGUCGCUGGUUUGAGAGGACGAUCAGCCACACUGGAACUGAGACACGGCCCAGACUCCUACGGGAGGCAGCAGUGGGGAAUGUUGGACAAUGGGCGAAAGCCUGAUCCAGCCAUCCCGCGUGUAUGAGAAGGCCUUCGGGUUGUAAAGCACUUUUGGUAGAGAGGCGGUAUCUGCAGAAGAAGCACCGGCUAACUACGUGCCAACAGCCGCGGUAAUAC
rnacentral:rRNA from 1 species